UUGCAUCAUAAUAGUAUUUGAAGUUUCUUAGCUCAAGGGAAAACUGUCUGCAUUACAUAUCUCUGCAGAAUGCCCAGCCUUCUCAGCCAGGCUCUCAGUAUCUCUGGGGAGAGUAUAUCUGCCAUUGGUAAAGUUUGCAAAACAACAGGGCUACUGAUUGAUUUAGGAAGUGACAAAUGUGUCAGCAUUCCCCUGUGAGAAGAUGUGGAAAUCUGGCUUGUCCAAACAUCCUUGGCAACUACGACAAAGUCUUUUCAAUUGUGAGUCCAGUGGUGCAAUCUCAUCUCUCUGCAAUCUCUGCCUCAUGGGUUCAAGUGAUUCUCCUGCCUCAGACUCCUGAGUCUGUGAAAGAAUCUGCUUCCAGGUUCAUUCAAGUCAUUGGUAAAAUUCUGUUUUUUGUAGUUGCAGGAAUGAAGAUUUUUUCCUUCCUAGCUAGGUUUCAACUUCAGGUUGCUGCUGGUUGUCUCCUGAGUAGCUGGGAUUACAGGCAUGUGCCACAAUGCCUGGCUAAUUUUUGUAUUUUUAGUAGAGACGGGGUUUCAUCAUGUUGGUCAGGCUGGUCUCAAACUCCUGACCUCGUGAUCAGUCCGCCUUGGCCUCCCAAAGUGCUGGGCCCUCAUUAAGUUCCAUUCUAAUGUUAUAGAUGUUAAUAGCAUCUCUCCAGAUUGCACAGUAUGUAAUAUCCUGAAUGUACCAUUUUAUAUUUUGCCAUUUAGACAUUUGAGUUGCUUUCAUUGUUUUGUUAGUACAAAUUAUACUGCUAUUUGUAUCUUUGUACUUUUUAAUGUGCCAGCUUUUCCCUAAGGUAGUAAAAUUUUGUUCUAUUUUAAAUUUUAAUAGAAACUGCCAAAUCACUUAUAAAUUAUUCUUUCUUCCACCUGAGACAGUAUUUAAUAUAUCAAAAUAUUAUCAGUAUUUUAAAUUUAUUGUCAGUCUGAUGGAGUUUUACCUUGAUUUUUUCUUAUUACUAGCUUAGGUUGACAUAUCUUUAUAUUGUUACUAGCUACUCAUAUGACCUUUUCUAAGAGUGGUUUGUCAUUUUUCUGGUGGGUUUUUCAUCAUUUUCUUAGUGUUUAGUUUAUUUAACAAAUACACACUGUGGUUAUUACAUGCCAGGUACUGUUCUAACAGCUUGAAAAUUAUGAACUUAAUAAACCUUAUAACAACUCGAUGAGGUGGGUACUAUUAUUAUUUCUAUUCUGCAAAAUGCAGAGACUGAGCCUAGAGAAGUUGAAACACUUUCUCAAGGUUAUACAGCUGGUAAGUAGCUGAACUGGGAUUCAAACUCCUGUGGGUGGCUCCAAAGUCUGUACUCUCAUUUACUAUCUUAUAUGCAAAAGGUUUCUUUAAAUCUAUUCUGCAUGUUCUCUGUUUUCUAUAUGACAGAUAUUUUUCACAGU
rnacentral:lncRNA from 1 species